UUGACGCUUCGAGUAAGGGUCCGGUUCCCGGCUAUUUUUCGAGGACCCAUUCGUAAACAGCCGUUCGACUUGGCUGCGUUUGC
rnacentral:tRNA from 1 species